rfam:Haemonchus contortus, ISE/inbred ISE, WGS project CAVP01000000 data, contig: Hcontortus_37394
GGCCCAAAUUUGAAGUAGAGUCGAUUAGUACGAUCAUCUGACCAUACUAAUUACUCUACUUCAAGUUUGCGCGU